UACGGAGGGAGCUAGCGUUGUUCGGAAUUACUGGGCGUAAAGCGUGCGCAGGCGGUCUUUUAAGUCAGAUGUGAAAUCCCCGGGCUUAACCUGGGAACUGCGUUUGAAACUACAAGGCUAGAGUGUGGCAGAGGGGGGUGGAAUUCCACGUGUAGCAGUGAAAUGCGUAGAGAUGUGGAGGAACACCGAUGGCGAAGGCAGCCCCCUGGGCUGAGAUUGACGCUCAGGCACGAAAGCGUGGGGAGCAAACAGG
rnacentral:rRNA from 1 species